UGCAAGUCGAACGGACCCUUUGGGGUUAGUGGCGAACGGGUGAGUAACACGUGGGUGAUCUGCCCUGCACUUUGGGAUAAGCCUGGGAAACUGGGUCUAAUACCGGAUAGGACUACGCACUGCAUGGUGUGUGGUGGAAAGCUUUUGCGGUGUGGGAUGGGCCCGCGGCCUAUCAGCUUGUUGGUGGGGUGAUGGCCUACCAAGGCGACGACGGGUAGCCGGCCUGAGAGGGUGACCGGCCACACUGGGACUGAGAUACGGCCCAGACUCCUACGGGAGGCAGCAGUGGGGAAUAUUGCACAAUGGGCGCAAGCCUGAUGCAGCGACGCCGCGUGAGGGAUGACGGCCUUCGGGUUGUAAACCUCUUUCGCCAGGGACGAAGCGCAAGUGACGGUACCUGGAGAAGAAGGACCGGCCAACUACGUGCCAGCAGCCGCGGUAAUACGUAGGGUCCGAGCGUUGUCCGGAAUUACUGGGCGUAAAGAGCUCGUAGGUGGUUUGUCGCGUUGUUCGUGAAAACUCACAGCUUAACUGUGGGCGUGCGGGCGAUACGGGCAGACUGGAGUACUGCAGGGGAGACUGGAAUUCCUGGUGUAGCGGUGGAAUGCGCAGAUAUCAGGAGGAACACCGGUGGCGAAGGCGGGUCUCUGGGCAGUAACUGACGCUGAGGAGCGAAAGCGUGGGGAGCGAACAGGAUUAGAUACCCUGGUAGUCCACGCCGUAAACGGUGGGUACUAGGUGUGGGUUUCCUUCCUUGGGAUCCGUGCCGUAGCUAACGCAUUAAGUACCCCGCCUGGGGAGUACGGCCGCAAGGCUAAAACUCAAAGGAAUUGACGGGGGCCCGCACAAGCGGCGGAGCAUGUGGAUUAAUUCGAUGCAACGCGAAGAACCUUACCUGGGUUUGACAUGCACAGGACGCCGGCAGAGAUGUCGGUUCCCUUGUGGCCUGUGUGCAGGUGGUGCAUGGCUGUCGUCAGCUCGUGUCGUGAGAUGUUGGGUUAAGUCCCGCAACGAGCGCAACCCUUGUCUCAUGUUGCCAGCACGUUAUGGUGGGGACUCGUGAGAGACUGCCGGGGUCAACUCGGAGGAAGGUGGGGAUGACGUCAAGUCAUCAUGCCCCUUAUGUCCAGGGCUUCACACAUGCUACAAUGGCCGGUACAAAGGGCUGCGAUGCCGUGAGGUGGAGCGAAUCCUUUCAAAGCCGGUCUCAGUUCGGAUCGGGGUCUGCAACUCGACCCCGUGAAGUCGGAGUCGCUAGUAAUCGCAGAUCAGCAACGCUGCGGUGAAUACGUUCCCGGGCCUUGUACACACCGCCCGUCACGUCAUGAAAGUCGGUAACACCCGAAGCCGGUGGCCUAACCCUUGUGGAGGGAGCCGUCGAAG
rnacentral:rRNA from 1 species